rnacentral:rRNA from 1 species
UAACACGUGGGCAAUCUGCCCUUCACUCUGGGACAAGCCCUGGAAACGGGGUCUAAUACCGGAUACGACACUCUCGGGCAUCUGGUGAGUGUGGAAAGCUCCGGCGGUGAAGGAUGAGCCCGCGGCCUAUCAGCUUGUUGGUGAGGUAACGGCUCACCAAGGCGACGACGGGUAGCCGGCCUGAGAGGGCGACCGGCCACACUGGGACUGAGACACGGCCCAGACUCCUACGGGAGGCAGCAGUGGGGAAUAUUGCACAAUGGGCGGAAGCCUGAUGCAGCGACGCCGCGUGAGGGAUGACGGCCUUCGGGUUGUAAACCUCUUUCAGCAGGGAAGAAGCGCAAGUGACGGUACCUGCAGAAGAAGCGCCGGCUAACUACGUGCCAGCAGCCGCGGUAAUACGUAGGGCGCGAGCGUUGUCCGGAAUUAUUGGGCGUAAAGAGCUCGUAGGCGGUCUGUCGCGUCGGAUGUGAAAGCCCGGGGCUUAACCCCGGGUCUGCAUUCGAUACGGGCAGACUAGAGUGUGGUAGGGGAGAUCGGAAUUCCUGGUGUAGCGGUGAAAUGCGCAGAUAUCAGGAGGAACACCGGUGGCGAAGGCAGAUCUCUGGGCCAUUACUGACGCUGAGGAGCGAAAGCGUGGGGAGCGAACAGGAUUAGAUACCCUGGUAGUCCACGCCGUAAACGGUGGGAACUAGGUGUUGGCGACAUUCCACGUCGUCGGUGCCGCAGCUAACGCAUUAAGUUCCCCGCCUGGCGAAUACGGCCGCAAGGCUAAAACUCAGAGGAAUUGACGGGGGCCCGCACAAGCAGCGGAGCAUGUGGCUUAAUUCGACGCAACGCGAAGAACCUUACCAAGGCUUGACAUACGCCGGAAACGGCCAGAGAUGGUCGCCCCCCUUGUGGUCGGUGUACAGGUGGUGCAUGGCUGUCGUCAGCUCCUGUCGUGAGAAGUUUGGGUUAAUUCCCGCCAACGA